GGAUUAGAUACCCUGGUAGUCCACGCUGUAAACGAUGUCUACUUGGAGGCUGUUGUCAUGAACAGUGGCUUUCGAAGCUAACGCGAUAAGUAGACCGCCUGGGGAGUACGGUCGCAAGAUUAAAACUCAAAUGAAUUGACGGGGGCCCGCACAAGCGGUGGAGCAUGUGGUUUAAUUCGAUGCAACGCGAAGAACCUUACCUACUCUUGACAUCCAGAGAAGCUUGAAGAGAUUCGAGUGUGCCUUCGGGAGCUCUGAGACAGGUGCUGCAUGGCUGUCGUCAGCUCGUGUCG
rnacentral:rRNA from 1 species